rfam:Pseudomonas caspiana strain FBF102 scaffold00002, whole genome shotgun sequence.
GUAUGGGUCACCGCAAGGUUUCUGGCCAUUUCGCCAGACCGUAUUCUGCGGUUCGCUCGUCGAACCGUAACCGGCAGCGCCGGAUGUUUUAACCCGCCGGUGUAUUCACUGGC